rnacentral:rRNA from 1 species
UACGUAGGGUCCGAGCGUUUGUCCGGAAUUACUGGGCGUAAAGAGCUCGUAGGUGGUUUGUCGCGUUGUUCGUGAAAAACUCACAGCUCAACUGUGGGCGUGCGGGCGAUACGGGCAGACUUGAGUACUGCAGGGGAGACUGGAAUUCCUGGUGUAGCGGUGGAAUGCGCAGAUAUCAGGAGGAACACCGGUGGCGAAGGCGGGUCUCUGGGCAGUAACUGACGCUGAGGAGCGAAAGCGUGGGGAGCGAACAGG